UAUAUAAGCCCCUCUGUUAACUUUUGUUCGAGCCUGUCUAGAUCUUUUAUCAGUCUAGAAAGAUGUUGGAGAAAAGACAUCAUCCUCUUCUAUAAUCUCCAUCUGUAAUUGGACUAACAACUGGACCAGUGAAUGCAGGUCACACCAUGGUCUCACGAGUGAAAAUGAGUGCUCUGGAUUGAACAGAAAAGGUGAAUCAAAACUCCAACCAUCUGUAUGAGGGUCUGGAAAAAGGAUGCCCCCUGGAGCUGGAAAUGAUGGAUCAGGUGGAUCCACACUUGAACCAUCUGUAUGAUGAUCUGCACCCACUGGAUCUGUAAAUGGUGGUGCAGGUUUCUGAAUUGAUGUCAGAUGCAAAGCAGAAGCUUAUUUUCUUCCAGUUUGGCUUCAUUGUGGAAAAAUGCUGGAAACUAAAAUGCAGAAUUCUGGCCUGGUGUUUGGUCCCCCCGUUCUCUGGCUUGUGUCUCCAUCAUCAUUACACUCUUGUCAGUGUAAUAGUAUCGUCGUCUGCGUACCAGGACUUUGUUACUCAGCUGUCCCUUCUCCUUCAAACUA